rnacentral:lncRNA from 1 species
CAGAAGCUGCGGUUCUUUUCAUCAGCCUGAACCUGGACCUGCCGCUAUGGAUAACUCAGGUUUUUUUUUUUUUUUUAAUCAACUGCCAUCUUUUCCACUGUUUAGAAACUCUUAAGAUUAAACUUUAGUAAAGUUGUUUUAGUUAUCCAUGUAAUCAGGCUGAGGAUACUUAGCUGCCUAUUUAGGCAAAUGUCAGAAUUUAGUUUGUUCGCUGGGAACUGGUGUGGACUGGCAAAGGAUGAUGAGAUAGUUUUUUGAGUGAGUAAAUUUUGGGAGCUUGAGUGUAUUGGGAUUUGCAAUUACAAUCAUCGUCUGCCUCAGGUGAUUUCUUCUCCUGCUCUGUCAUUGUUUGUUCUCUAAUUCAAAAGCAUAAAAUAUUUCAAUCAAUUUUUAUGCCAGGAAUAUGCAAAAGUUUCUAAUAUUUUAUUUCCAUCUGUUACAAGAUCAAACUGAAGCAGAACUCAAACAAAAGUAUGCUACUUCUUGCGGAAAUCUUGCCUUUGUUCAGAUUAUGAAACCAUUUCCAUGCAGCAAAUUCAUCCAAAAGUUUGAAUAAGUUUCAUGGUUGGACACUGUUGGCUUCUUUUUCUUCUGGGGUGCAUUUAGGUGCUAUCAAGUGACAGCUGUAAGUAUGAUUGCACUAAGCUGCCGCUGGGAAAUUUGAGGUUUUGAUGGCUGCCCAUGUUAUUUUCAAGAAACUAUUGAUGUAAGAAGCUGUGGUUCUUUUCAUCAGCUUGAACCUGAAACUGUCGCUAUGGAUAACUCAGGUUUUUGUUAUCAACUAUAUCAUCUUUUUCACUAUUUUGAAACUCUUAAGAUUAAACUUUAGUAAAGUUGUUUCAGCUAUUCAAAUGAAAAACUCAUUGAUUUGAGACUUCCUUCAUUAUUGUUUCUAAUUACAAUGCUAACGAUCCAGAUAAAAUAAUAUUUAAUCGGCGAAGGUGUCCCUUGGAAGUACAUCCUUCUUUUUCUUUUAUUAUAUAAAUUCUUGCAAUGAGCUUAGUGAAGCUGUUGUGCUAAUCAUGCCACUGCAUAAUUUGGCCCCUAAUGUGGGUACUCUGUUACAUUGUUCUGCAAAUUCUCCAGAAGUUAAAAUCAAUAAAUUUUCUAUUAGCUCUAGUGCUUUGACCUAAAUGCCAUUCUAUAUUUUGAUUACAAUGUUUUAACCUUUAAAUUAACUACCCCUAGAUGUUGGAUUUUCUAGAACUUCAAAAUGAUUAAUGGAGAAAGAUCCCAUUAUCGUUAUUGCUAUAAGAAAUUGAUUUAUGCAUCCAAAGAUACAUUAUAUAUUUCUGUGUCUCUAUUUGUAGAUGACAUUUAAGCAUCCAUAAACCGUCAGACAGAGGAAGGGGGUUCAGUGCAAAGAUUCUGUUGACCUAGGGUUGACUGCAUAAUGUCACUUGUUCGCAAUCUAUUAUUUAUUUUAUAUUUUGAAGAAUUUAAUGGGUAAUCCUAAUUGUUUGUUUUGGCAGGUAUGUGUUGUUAUCUCCUUCUAUCUAACAGUCGUACCUAAAUAGCAUAGUUUCAUCUGUGUUACCAUGUGAUGUACAUAAUUUCACAUUUGCCUCAGAUUAAGCUUAAUUUCCCACAGAAUAGAGCUGUCGCGACUGGACUUAGGUUGAUGUCCAAAGAGGUAAAUUAUUGGCAUGCCUAGAUAAUUUGGCCAUUUCCUAAUUCAUAAGUCUACAUUAAUUUUGAUUUUGAGUUGACUGAUUUCUUUUCAAGGUCUGCUUCCUUAACGGAGUGACCAAUGUUUUUCAACUAAAUUUAUCAUAUGAUGCAGGAAGCAGGGCAGGAUAUGAAAUGAGAAGCUCAUUGGUGGAAGUAUUGCCAGUAACAGAACCCAAAGAAAAUGAAACUAUUUCAAGGCAGCAGUUGGCAGUUGCAAGUGAAUGGAGGCCCUGACAAAAUUCUCAAGCGGUUGCAAUGCAAUUACGAUCAUCCUCAGCCUCAGGUAAUUUCUUCUCCUGCUCUGUUUUUAUUUGUUAUCUAAUUAAAAAGCAUAAAGUAUCUUGAAUCACUUUCUGUAUCUGGAACAUAUGCAGCAGUUUCUAAAAUCUUCAUAUGAGUGUAAUGAUGGUAAUUUCUGUUUUUUGUCUGUCAUUGAAUGUUAGACAACUUUCAGUGAGACUCUUGAACCGAGACAUUUUUGACAAAUGAAGGACAAUUGCUGAAGAGUGGGAAUGGUGCUAGAUUGGGGAAUAAAGACAAAGGAGGUAAAUUAUUUGCAGUUUAUUCAGCAUUAUUUGCUUUGGACCAGCGCCUGAUUCACAAGUCUCCAUAAUUUGGCUUUUGACCAGUUGUUAAUAAAUUUUUUAUUCCAUUGGUGCUAAAUGUACACGUGAAGCAGGCAGAGCAGGACUGUGGAAAUGAGAAGGUUUUUAGUGAAAGCUUAAACUCAGGUAAUUCUAAAAAGUACAUGUUUUUGCUGAUUUAUCUAAAUCAGGAAAUUUUAUUUCCAUCUGUUACAAGAUAAAACAGAAACAGAACACAAAGAAAAAUAUUCUACUUCUUGUGGCAAUCUUGCCUUCAUUCAGACAAUGAAACCAUUUCCUUUCACCAAUUUCUUCCAAAAGUUUGAAUAAGUUUCAUGGUUGGACAUAGUUAGCUUCUUUUUCUUUUGGUGCAUUUAGGUCCUAUCAAGUGACAGCCAUAAGUAUGAUUGCAUUAUUGGGAAAUUUUAGGUUUUGAUGGCUCCCCACGUUAUUGCCAAGAAAGUCCUCAUGUCAAAAGCUGCGGUUCUUUUCAUCAGCCUGAACCCGAACCUGUCGUUAUGGAUAACUCAGGUUUUUGUCAUCAACUAUAUCAUCUUUUUUACUGUUUUGAAACUCUUAAGAUUAAACUUCAGUAAAGUUGUUUCAGUUAUCCAUGUAAUCAGGCCAAGGAUAUUUAGCAGCUUAUUUAGGCAACUGCCAGAAUUCAGUUUGUUUGCUCGAAACUUGUAUGGUGACAAGGAUACUGGCAAGGAUAGUGAGAUAGUUUUUUGUGUGAGUGAAAUUUGAAAGCUUGGGUGUUCUGGGAUUUGCAAUUGCAAUCAUCCUCUGAGUCAGGUGAUUUCUUCUCCUGCUCUGUCUUGAUUUUCUCUCUAAUUGAAAGCAUAAAGUAUUUCAAUCAAAUUCUGUACCAGGAGUACAUAAAAGUUACUAAUAUUUUAUUUCCAUCUGUUUGCAUUGAUAACUCGGCAUAUGUUCUAGUUAAAGAACAAACAGAAACAGAGUUCAGGAAAAAGUUUCUUCGGCCACCAUAUUUGAAAAUGAAACCAUUUCCAGGAAGCAGUUGGCAGCAAAUUCAUAUGGAGUGUAGACAAUGAUGAGCAAAAAGGUGAUUCGCAAUUUCUUUUUUUUUUAAGUGAAAUUAUUUGUUAGAUUGAAGCUGAUAUUGUAAGAAGGCCAUUGAGCUAACCUAUGUCGUCACUUGCCUAGAUUGCAGGGGGUCAAGACUCAAAAGAAGCACUGAAAUUUAAAAAGCAUGGAAUAGUUCUUUUGCCAUGUGUCAAUUAAUGCAAGUUUGAAUAAGUUUAUUGGCUGAACGAUGUUAGCUUCUUUUCCUUUCGUGCACUUUGGUAUGCUAUCAAGUGACAGCCGUAUGUAUGGCUUGCAUAUAGCUGCUGCUGGGAAAAUUGACGAUUUCAUGGCUGGCCGUGUUAUUGUCUUAAAUUAGUUGUGAUAAGCUGUUGCUUGGAGAUUCUGUUGCCAAGACUUUGCUCACAUCAGAAGCUGUGGAAUCUGAACCCUUCGUUAUGUAUCAUCUUUUUCAUUGUUUUAAAACUCUCAGGAUUAAACUUGAGCGAAUUUGUUCGGUUGUCUAUAUAAUCAUGUAUUGAGUAAACUCUCAGGAUACUGAGGGUGAGAGAAAUUAGAGGGUGUAUAGGGAUUUGGAUUUGUUAGGAAGUUAUCAUUUUUAUUUUUAUUUUUAUUUUUUUCCCAGAAAAUCUUCUGGUGGUGCUAUAUUUUCAAACGACAGUCCGAUUCAAAACUUGAUAUUCCAAUUAUAUUCAUAAGCUUCUACAGUUAUCUUCAAAAAGACAAAUGGAAGGCUUUGAACGGCUUGGGUCUGAGUAUUGUAGUUUGAUUUAUUUUGAUGAAAGUACCUUUUGACAUUGAGAUUCUUUCAUGAGUUAAACAUUCUUUUUAAAACCAACUUAUUAAAAAAAAAAAGUAACUAACAUAUAUUAUUUUGUUAGUGCUUUUUAAAUCAAAUAUAAAAAAGAGAACUGUAAUUCUUAGCAACCAAUUUUUCACUGAGUACACCUACAACAAACUAUUAAAAAAUAAAGUGAUAGAAAAUGCCUGAUUUUUCGUACUUUCUAAUUACUUUUGGUCCUAAAAUAUGGCAAUUUGUGUAAUAAUAAGCCCAUGUAUAUCUUUAUGCCAUUAGUUUGAUAAAUAGCUAUCAAGGAUAACUUAUUAAGCUAAAAAUAUUUGAAGGAUAAAUUGAUUUAUGCAUCCAAAGAUACAUUAUAUAUUUCUGUGUCUCUAUUUAUAGAUGACAUUUAAGCAUCCAUAAACCGUCAGACAGAGGAAGGGGGUUCAGUGCAAAGAUUCUGUUGACCUAGGGUUGACUGCAUAAUGUCACUUGUUCGCAAUCUAUUAUUUAUUUUAUAUUUUGAAGAAUUUAAUGGGUAAUCCUAAUUGUUUGUUUUGGCAGGUAUGUGUUGUUAUCUCCUUCUAUCUAACAGUCGUACCUAAAUAGCAUAGUUUCAUCUGUGUUACCAUGUGAUGUACAUAAUUUCACAUUUGCCUCAGAUUAAGCUUAAUUUCCCACAGAAUAGAGCUGUCGUGACUGGACUUAGGUUGAUGUCCAAAGAGGUAAAUUAUUGGCAUGCCUAGAUAAUUUGGCCAUUUCCUAAUUCAUAAGUCUACAUUAAUUUUGAUUUUGAGUUGACUGAUUUCUUUUCAAGGUCUGCUUCCUUAACGGAGUGACCAAUGUUUUUCAACUAAAUUUAUCAUAUGAUGCAGGAAGCAGGGCAGGAUAUGAAAUGAGAUCUCAUUGGUGGAAGUAUUGCCAGUAGCAGAACCCAAUGAAAAUGAAACUAUUUCAAGGCAGCAGUUGGCAGUUGCAAGUGAAUGGAGGCCCUUGACAAAAUUCUCAAGCGGUUGCAAUGAUGGUAAUUUCUUCUCCUGCUUUGUAUUUAUUUGUUAUCUAAUUAGGAAGCGUGAAGUAUCUUGAAUCAUUUUCUGUAUCUGGAAUAUAUGCAAGAGUUUCUAAAAUUUUGAUAUGAGUGUAAUGAUGGUAAUUUCUGUUUUCUGUCUGUCAUCAAAUGUUAGAAAACUUUCAUUGAGACCCUUGAACCGAGUCAUUUUUGACAAGUGAAGGACAAUUGCUGAAGAGUGGGAAUGGUGCUAGAUUGGGGAAUAAAGACAAAGGAGGUAAAUUAUUUGCAGUUUAUUCAGCAUUAUUUGCUUUGGACCACCGCCUGAUUCACAAGUCUCCAUAAUUUGGCUUUUGACCAGUUAAUAAAUUUUUAAUUCCAUUGGUGCUAAAUGUACACGUGAAGCAGGCAGAGCAGGACUGUGGAAAUGAGAAGGUUUUUAGUGAAAGCUUAAACUCAGGUAAUUCUAAAAAGUACAUGUUUUUGCUGAUUUAUCUAAAUCAGGAAAUUUUAUUUCCAUCUGUUACAAGAUAAAACAGAAACAGAACACAAAGAAAAAUAUUCUACUUCUUGUGGCAAUCUUGCCUUCAUUCAGACAAUGAAACCAUUUCCUUUCACCAAUUUCUUCCAAAAGUUUGAAUAAGUUUCAUGGUUGGACAUAGUUAGCUUCUUUUUCUUUUUGGUGCAUUUAGGUCCUAUCAAGUGACAGCCAUAAGUAUGAUUGCAUUAUUGGGAAAUUUUAGGUUUGGAUGGCUCCCCAUGUUAUUGCCAAGAAAGUCCUCAUGUCAGAAGCUGCGGUUCUUUUCAUCAGCCUGAACCCGAACCUGUCGUUAUGGAUAACUCAGGUUUUUGUCAUCAACUAUAUCAUCUUUUUUACUGUUUUGAAACUCUUAAGAUUAAACUUCAGUAAAGUUGUUUCAGUUAUCCAUGUAAUCAGGCUAAGGAUAUUUAGCAGCUUAUUUAGGCAACUGCCAGAAUUCAGUUUGUUUGCUCGAAACUUGUAUGGUGACAAGGAUACUGGCAAGGAUAGUGAGAUAGUUUUUUGUGUGAGUGAAAUUUGAAAGCUUGGGUGUUCUGGGAUUUGCAAUUGCAAUCAUCCUCUGAGUCAGGUGAUUUCUUCUCCUGCUCUGUCUUGAUUUUCUCUCUAAUUGAAAGCAUAAAGUAUUUCAAUCAAAUUCUGUACCAGGAAUACGUAAAAGUUACUAAUAUUUUAUUUCCAUCUGUUUGCAUUGAUAACUCGGCGGCAUAUGUUCUAGUUAAAGAACAAACAGAAACAGAGUUCAGGAAAAAGUUUCUUCGGCCACCAUAUUUGAAAAUGAAACCAUUUCCAGGAAGCAGUUGGCAGCAAAUUCAUAUGGAGUGUAGACAAUGAUGAGCGAAAAGGUGAUACGCAAUUUCUUUUUUUUUUUUUUUAAGUGAAAUUAUUUGUUAGAUUGAAGCUGAUAUUGUAAGAAGGCCAUUGAGCUAACCUAUGUCGCCACUUGCCUAGAUUGCAGGGGGUCAAGACUCAAAAGAAGCACUGAAAUUUAAAAAAGCAUGCAAUAGUUCUUUUGCCAUGUGUCAAUUAAUGCAAGUUUGAAUAAGUUUAUUGGCUGAACGAUGUUAGCUUCUUUUCCUUUCGUGCACUUUGGUAUGCUAUCAAGUGACAGCCGUAUGUAUGGCUUGCGUAUAGCUGCUGCUGGGAAAAUUGACGAUUUCAUGGCUGGCCGUGUUAUUGUCUUAAAUUAGUUGUGAUAAGCUGUUGCUUGGAGAUUCUGUUGCCAAGACUUUGCUCACAUCAGAAGCUGUGGAAUCUGAACCCUUCGUUAUGUAUCAUCUUUUUCAUUGUUUUAAAACUCUCAGGAUUAAACUUGAGCGAAUUUGUUCGGUUGUCUAUAUAAUCAUGUAUUGAGUAACCUCUCAG